CUGCAAAUAUUCUUGCCGUUCUCAUUUUUUAAUAAUCAGAGUCAGCUAAACAUUUAUUCUAAAAUGACCUUGCAUGUUUUCCCAAACCUAGUUCUUUUUCUAGCUAGGUCUGGUCUUAUAAAUGCGAGUGACAUAU